CAGGAUUUCCCAGGCUCUAGCUUGCACUCAAUGGCAGGAGCUCUGGCUCUGUUUACCAUGCCCGCAGGGACUUCAAGAGUCCCCAUUUGAGACCCAUGCUGGCCACCUGGGCCACCAUUUGUCUCCCCUCCUGCUCCAGGUGUAUGGGGAAGACCUGUCUGCCUUCACCUAGGCCAUGUCUUGAUGCUGCCCAAGAAGCCACAUCUUGUGCACAUCUGGUGCAGGGGAUCCUUGCACCAGGCUGGGCAUGAGCCAAGGUUCUCUUCCACGAGCGGAUCCUUUUCCAAGUGGGAACGCCUGGAGAGCCAGGGACUUGAAUCUUUUGGGAGGUCCCCAGGCCCACCCAGUUGCCCCUGGCCACACAGCAAGAAGUGAGUGGUGGCUGAGGGAGUGAAGUCUUAAUCCUGCCUCCUGGCAGAUCAAUUGGAUCCUCAUAGGAGCAUGAGCCCUACUGUGAACUGCACAUAUGAGGGAUCUAAGGGUCUGGCCAAGUUGCCCGGAUUGAGCUGGAACUUGCUGCAGGUGUGCGCUGCCAUGUCUGGUCACUCUAACUUCUUCUGGAAACUUCUGUAGUGGAUCCUGUGUGCACCACCCAGACUACCACCUCAGGACGGGACUCUCGUUCCUCUGCUCAGAGAACGGAAAUUGACACUCACGGAUGAAUCUCACUGGGAAAAUGUCCUGGCUGAAAGGAGCUUCCUGGGGCCUUCCCACUGGAGAAGGGGAGGAGGGUAACAGAGGCCUCCACACCUUUCUCAAUACAGAGCAAAUUUGAAGGGUCAUCUCCUCUCCAGGGCUCUGUGUGGGGUUGGGAAGAGACAUACAUUGAUUGAUUGAUUGGUUUUUAAUUUUUUUUUUUUUGGUACUGGGGAUCGAACUUGGGAUCUUGCACUUGCAAGGCAGGCAGCAGAACCACUGAACUAAAUCCCUAGCCCUUUAAAAAAAUUUUUUUUUGAUUGAUUAGUUUUUUGAGAUAAGGUUUCCUUAUGUAGUUCAGACUCACCUUGAACUCACCAUGUAGCCCAGGCUGGCCUUGGAUUUGCAGUGAUCUUCCUGCCUCAGCCUCCUGAGUACUGGAAUUAUAGGUAUGCACCACCACAUCUGGCUGGCUGAGAUCUUUAUUUUAAUGCAAAGGCCCCCCACCCCCACCCUCCUACUGGUGCUGAACCCAAGCACUCUUCCCAAGAAAUUUUCCCAACCAAUGAUACCUUCCUUGACCUUGCAGGCCAGGGUGGACUCCUUGAUUGCUUGCUCUUCCAAAAGGUAUGUCUCCCUGUAUGUUUUACAUCCACCCAUGCUCUCUGGCCUGUGUCUGCCUCCUCCAACCACUGUAAUGCCCACAAGGGUGGGAGCCAGAUCUGAUAUUAGUUACCGCUGCAUUCCGCCCCACUGGCACAUGGUUGAGAAAUAUUUGUUGAGUGAACAAACAAUGUUGUUAGCCAUCUAAUCUGAUUCCGUAGGAGGCCAUCAACUGUACUCAGGGCUGCAGUGUCUCAUUCUUUCAUUCAAUAAAUAUUUACAAAGAAAUUG
rnacentral:lncRNA from 1 species